UUGUCAUGGCUGUGCUCACUGAAGUGGUU
rnacentral:piRNA from 1 species